CAAAUUGAUAACCUCCAAUUUGGUGCGCUUAAAAGAUCAAGUUCCACAAUGGCAUUAUUAUAUAUGUUCCAUAAAUGGUACGAAGCCAUGGACACACCCGGCACCUGUCUUCGAAUCUGUACGUUGGACUUCUCAAAAGCAUUUGACCGGAUUGACUUCAACAUCUUACUUCAAAAAUUGAUAAAUAUGGGCAUACAUCCUGUCCUUAUUAAUUGGAUCGCCAACUUUCUCACAGACAGAAGACAGCGUACAAGAAUCGGCCCGAAUUAUUCUUGUUGGAGGCCAAUCAUUGGUGGUGUCCCACAGGGAACCAAACUUGGCCCCUUGCUCUUUUUAAUUAUGGUGAACGACCUGAAGGUCUCUGACGAUUCUGUUAAAUUCGUAGACGACACUACUUUAUGGGAAAUAAUUACGAGCGCCCAAUCGUCUGCUUCAGUCUUAUCGGCACAAAUUAGUGAAUGCUCCAGUUGGGUGGCCAAAAACAAUAUGAAAUUGAAUCCCACUAAAACCAAGGAAAUUCGAGUAUGUUUUUCGACUUAUGAUACCGAAGCACUUCCUCCACUUACCAUUGAUGGCUGUAACAUUUCUGUCGUGUCACAUGCUAAAAUACUCGGAUUAAUCAUCUCCGAAGACCUCAAGUGGGUUCUUCAUGUUAAUUUCAUUUGUAAGAAAGCUGCGAAGCGUCUGCAUGCUCUACGAUUAUUAAAGAGAUCUUCCAUUCCAUCAAGCAAGUUAGUGCGAGUGUUUAAUACAUGCAUUAGUCCAAUUUUAGAAUACUCGUGCGAAGUAUGGCAUCACAGUUUGCCCCAGUAUUUAAGUGAUCAGAUCGAAAGGAUCCAACGCAGAGCUCUACGAAUAAUCUUCCCAGAUUGUUGUUAUGAUAUUGCAAUGGACCGCGCCGGUGUGGUGUCAUUAUUCAUACGGAGAGAGACGAUCUGUAAGAGAUUUUUUGAACGAAUGCGUACUGACGAAGCACACAAGUUACAUUCCCUUGUCCCUUCCAAUCGGGAUACAGAAUAUUCCCUUCGGGGUGGUAAUAACAAACUAUCAAUACCUGUAGGUGUAGAACUAAUAGAUAUGCAAACAGUUUCAUA